UGGCAGACUAGAGUACUGUAGAGGGGGGUAGAAUUUCAGGUGUAGCGGUGAAAUGCGUAGAGAUCUGAAGGAAUACCGGUGGCGAAGGCGGCCCCCUGGACAGAUACUGACACUCAGAUGCGAAAGCGUGGGGAGCAAACAGGAUUAGAUACCCUGGUAGUCCACGCCGUAAACGAUGUCUACUUGGAGGUUGUGGCCUUGAGCCGUGGCUUUCGGAGCUAACGCGUUAAGUAGACCGCCUGGGGAGUACGGUCGCAAGAUUAAAACUCAAAUGAAUUGACGGGGGCCC
rnacentral:rRNA from 1 species